ensembl:lncRNA
AGGAUACACUGCCCAUUGGCAGAUGUCACAAAAUGUUAGUUUCCAAGCCUGUGCACACAUGAAGUUACAUUAAAGCUUACGUAGACCACAUACAAUAAUACAAAUGUAUAUUUUUAUAUUAUGAAUAAUUACAGCAUUGCACAUAAAACAGUGUAGCUGCUGCAAGAAAACAAAGCUGCGUUAGCUUUACUUAAAGGAAAUGGAAACACUUUGUGGUUGAAGUGUCUGUGCUUUGCAUUGAGACCUGUAGUUUGAUCAACACCUUUACAAACGACAGACACAAUGGAGAAGGUCAUGUUCUUUUGUGCUGUUUCAUACAGAAUAAUUCAGAUCACUUCCAGCGAUGUUUCAGAACAUGAUGUGAGUAUUUUACGAGUCCGGCUGAAUGAAAGCAUCACUCUGAACUGCAGCAUGACAGACAGAUAUGAAAUCUCCUGGUAUCACCAGAAUCCUGAUUCUGGACGACUAACAUUACUGAUGUCUGCCAAAAGCAGCAGUGUAGCGGGAAGAAAACUGCUAGUUAGGUUCAAUCAAAACUGGAGUCGUCUGACAGUUCAUGCAGAUGUGGAGAUCAACACAGUCUCUCUAGUUAUUUCUGGAUUUACAGAGUCAGACUCAGGUCUUUAUUUCUGUGGAACUAAAUCAGUGGAAAUGCACUUCAACAAACCAAUCAGACUACAGAUCGAGGACAAGCCGACAGACAGAGAGGACAAAGUUCAGUCCGUCACAGAUCAGCCGGAGGAUGAUGAGAUCACAGAUGGAGUGACUCUGACGGAGCGUGUGCUGAUGUUCGGUGGUGUUGGUCUGGCUGUGUUGGUGUUUUUUGUGGCUACAGUCCUCGCAGGAGGAAUCAUUCACUAUAACGGCUGGCAGAAAGGAUGGAUCGCAGCCAAACGCUCAUCUCUGAUUCACCACAAAUCACUUAAAUAACAUAUUUGUGUGUUUUAUUUUUCACUCUAUCGCAUUAAUCAGCAUUGCUCUUACAGCCGAUGGUGGCUCACGAGUGUGCUUCAGAUGUGGAUCUGUUGGCCAGAUCUCACUUA